AGCGGCGGACGGGUGAGUAACGCGUGGGUAACCUGCCCUGUACACACGGAUAACAUACCGAAAGGUAUGCUAAUACGAGAUAAUAUGCUUUUAUCGCAUGGUAGAAGUAUCAAAGCUCCGGCGGUACAGGAUGGACCCGCGUCUGAUUAGCUAGUUGGUAAGGUAACGGCUUACCAAGGCGACGAUCAGUAGCCGACCUGAGAGGGUGAUCGGCCACAUUGGAACUGAGACACGGUCCAAACUCCUACGGGAGGCAGCAGUGGGGAAUAUUGCACAAUGGGCGAAAGCCUGAUGCAGCAACGCCGCGUGAGCGAUGAAGGCCUUCGGGUCGUAAAGCUCUGUCCUCAAGGAAGAUAAUGACGGCACUUGAGGAGGAAGCCCCGGCUAACUACGUGCCAGCAGCCGCGGUAAUACGUAGGGGGCUAGCGUUAUCCGGAUUUACUGGGCGUAAAGGGUGCGUAGGUGGUCUCUUAAGUCAGGAGUGAAAGGCUACGGCUUAACCGUAGUAAGCUCUUGAAACUGGGAGACUUGAGUGCAGGAGAGGAAAGUGGAAUUCCUAGUGUAGCGGUGAAAUGCGUAGAUAUUAGGAGGAACACCAGUAGCGAAGGCGGCUUUCUGGACUGUAACUGACACUGAGGCACGAAAGCGUGGGGAGCAAACAGGAUUAGAUACCCUGGUAGUCCACGCCGUAAACGAUGAGUACUAGGUGU
rnacentral:rRNA from 1 species